GAUGAACGCUGGCGGCGUGCCUAAUACAUGCAAGUCGAGCGAACAGAUAAGGAGCUUGCUCCUUUGAUGUUAGCGGCGGACGGGUGAGUAACACGUGGGUAACCUACCUAUAAGACUGGAAUAACUCCGGGAAACCGGGGCUAAUGCAGGAUAACAUGUUGAACCGCAUGGUUCUACAGUGAAAGGCGGCUUUGCUGUCACUUAUAGAUGGACCCGCGCCGUAUUAGCUAGUUGGUGAGGUAACGGCUCACCAAGGCAACGAUACGUAGCCGACCUGAGAGGGUGAUCGGCCACACUGGAACUGAGACACGGUCCAGACUCCUACGGGAGGCAGCAGUAGGGAAUCUUCCGCAAUGGGCGAAAGCCUGACGGAGCAACGCCGCGUGAGUGAUGAAGGUCUUCGGAUCGUAAAACUCUGUUAUUAGGGAAGAACAAAUGCGUAAGUAACUGUGCGCGUCUUGACGGUACCUAAUCAGAAAGCCACGGCUAACUACGUG
rnacentral:rRNA from 1 species